CCCUUAGAUGUUCUGGGCUGCACGCGCGCUACACUGAUGCACUCAACGAGUUUACGAGCUUGUCCGAGAGGAUUGGCUAAUCUUUUAAAAUGCAUCGUGAUGGGGAUAGAUUAUUGCAAUUAUUAAUCUUCAACGAGGAAUUCCUAGUAAACGCAAGUCAUCAGCUUGCAUUGAUUACGUCCCUGCCCUUUGUACACACCGCCCGUCGCACCUACCGAUUGAAUGGUCCGGUGAAAUCUCGGGACGGCGGCUUGGUCGCUUGCGUCCGACUGCUGAAACUUGAUUAAACCAUAUCAUUUAGAGGAAGGUGAAGUCGUAACA
rnacentral:rRNA from 1 species